UACGUAGGGGGCAAGCGUUGUCCGGAUUUAUUGGGCGUAAAGAGCUCGUAGGUGGUUCGGUAAGUCGGAUGUGAAAUCUCCAGGCUCAACCUGGAGGGGUCAUUCGAUACUGCCGUGACUAGAGGUCGGUAGGGGAGUGUGGAAUUCCUGGUGGAGCGGUGAAAUGCGCAGAUAUCGGGAAGAACACCCGUGGCGAAGGCGGCACUCUGGGACGGUACUGACGCUGAGACGCGAAAGCGUGGGGAGCGAACAGG
rnacentral:rRNA from 1 species